UGUACUCUUUGGCUCACUGUUGGGCCAAAUUGCGUCCCUUCCUCCACCAAAGGAAAAAAAAGGUAUGUGGAGUCCCAACCUCCUCAGAAUGUGACCUUAUAGGGUCUUUACAGUGGUAAUCAAGUUAAAAUGAGGUCAUUUGGUGGGCUGUGGUCUGAUAUGACUGAUGUCUUUAUAAGAAGAGGAAGUUUGGACACAGGCAAGCACACGGGGAGAGUGCCAUUUAAACGUGAAGACGGGCAACAACCCAAAUGAGAGAAUGUGAUUGUAUUUGGAGAUGGAGCCUUUGAAGAUGUGAUGGAGGUAAAUUGAGCCACCAGGAUGUGCCCUAAUCCAAUCUGACUGUGCUUACAAGAAGAGGAAAUUUAGAAACAUAGAGAAACACCAGGGAUACAGGCACAGAGAAAGGACCGUGGGAGGACACAGCAAGAGGGCGGCCAUCUGCAAACCAGGGAGCAAGGCCUUAGAGGAAACCAGCCCUGCAGGCACCUUGAUCUUGGACUUCCAGCCUCCAGAACGGAUAGACCGGGGAAAUAUCAAGUCCCAGAGAACUGCUGCAUCCAGCACAUGCCACCCAGGUGGUGGGUUAGAAAGGGCGGAAUGAAGGGGGAAGACAGAGAGAAUGGAGAUGCCACUAUCCUGCAGCAACAGUGAGGUAAAAGUUAUAGGAAACAAAGAAGUAACCUUUUCUGGUACCUCAAUGCAUUGGACAUAGUUUUCAAAUCACUACGACAUGUGUGUGAAUUCUUCUGAGUUCUGUAAGGCUUUGUCCCCAGCUUUUGCCACAGGAAAGCUUCUUUGCA
rnacentral:lncRNA from 10 species